rnacentral:rRNA from 1 species
CCCUACGGGGGGCAGCAGUAGGGAAUAUUGGGCAAUGGGGGCAACCCUGACCCAGCAACGCCGCGUGAGGGAAGAAGGUCUUCGGAUUGUAAAGCUCUGUCCUUGGGGACGAAGGAAGUGACGGUACCCAAGGAGGAAGCUCCGGCUAACUACGUGCCAGCAGCCGCGGUAAUACGUAGGGAGCAAGCGUUGUCCGGAAUUACUGGGCGUAAAGGGUGCGUAGGCGGCAUAUUAAGUCAUAUGUGAAAACCCCAUGCUUAAGAUGGGAGGUGCAUGUGAAACUGGUAUGCUAGAGUACAGGAGAG